CGAACGCUGGCGGCGUGCUUAACACAUGCAAGUCGAACGAUGACGAUGGUGCUUGCACCGUCUGAUUAGUGGCGAACGGGUGAGUAACACGUGAGUAACCUGCCCUCCUCUUCGGGAUAACCGCCGGAAACGGUGGCUAAUACCGGAUAUGAAUGCCUGCCGCAUGGUGGGUGUUGGAAAGAUUUAUCGGUGGGGGAUGGACUCGCGGCCUAUCAGUUUGUUGGUGAGGUAAUGGCUCACCAAGGCGAUGACGGGUAGCCGGCCUGAGAGGGCGACCGGCCACACUGGGACUGAGACACGGCCCAGACUCCUACGGGAGGCAGCAGUGGGGAAUAUUGCACAAUGGGCGAAAGCCUGAUGCCAGCGACGCCGCGUGGGGAUGACGGCCUUCGGGUUGUAAACCUCUUUCAGCAGGGAAGAAGCGAGAGUGACGGUACCUGCAGAAGAAGCGCCGGCUAACUACGUGCCAGCAGCGGC
rnacentral:rRNA from 1 species